rnacentral:rRNA from 1 species
GAUGAACGCUAGCGGCAGGCUUAAUACAUGCAAGUCGAGGGGCAGCAGGACUGUAGCAAUACAGUUGCUGGCGACCGGCAAACGGGUGCGGAACACGUACGCAACCUUCCUUUAAGUGAGGAAUAGCCCAGGGAAACUUGGAUUAAUACCUCGUAAUAUUUAAGAGUGGCAUCACUCUUUAAUUAUAGCUCAGGCGCUUAAAGAUGGGCGUGCGACUGAUUAGAUAGUUGGCGGGGUAACGGCCCACCAAGUCUGCGAUCAGUAACUGGUGUGAGAGCACGACCAGUCACACGGGCACUGAGACACGGGCCCGACUCCUACGGGAGCAGCAGUAAGGAUAUUGGUCAAUGGACGCAAGUCUAAACCAGCCAUGCCGCGUGGAGGAUGAAGGUCCUCUGGAUUGUAAACUUCUUUUAUCUGGGAAAAACCCAUAUUUUCUAGUGUGGUUGACGGUACCAGAUGAAUAAGCA